rnacentral:rRNA from 1 species
GGGCCCGCACAAGCGGUGGAGCAUGUGGUUUAAUUCGAUGCAACGCGAAGAACCUUACCUACUCUUGACAUCCAGAGAACUUUUCAGAGAUGAAUUGGUGCCUUCGGGAACUCUGAGACAGGUGCUGCAUGGCUGUCGUCAGCUCGUGUUGUGAAAUGUUGGGUUAAGUCCCGCAACGAGCGCAACCCCUUAUCCUUGUUUUGCCAGCGAGUAAUGUCGGGAACUCCAGGGAGACUGCCGGUGAUAAACCGGAGGAAGGUGGGACGACGUCAAGUCAUCAUGGCCCUUACGAGUAGGGCUACACACGUGCUACAAUGGCGCAUACAGAGGGCGGCCAACUUGCGAGAGUGAGCGAAUCCCCAAAAAGUGCGUCGU